GACGAACGCUGGCGGCGUGCUUAACACAUGCAAGUCGAACGGAAAGGCCCUGCUUUUGUGGGGUGCUCGAGUGGCGAACGGGUGAGUAACACGUGAGUAACCUGCCCUUGACUUUGGGAUAACUUCAGGAAACUGGGGCUAAUACCGGAUAGGAGCUCCUGCUGCAUGGUGGGGGUUGGAAAGUUUCGGCGGUUGGGGAUGGACUCGCGGGUUAUCAGCUUGUUGGUGGGGUAGUUGCUUACCAAGGCUUUGACGGGUAGCCGGCCUGAGAGGGUGACCGGCCACAUUGGGACUGAGGUACGGCCCAGACUCCUACGGGAGGCAGCAGUGGGGAAUAUUGCACAAUGGGCGGAAGCCUGAUGCAGCAACGCCGCGUGCGGGAUGACGGCCUUCGGGUUGUAAACCGCUUUCGCCUGUGACGAAGCGUGAGUGACGGUAAUGGGUAAAGAAGCACCGGCUAACUACGUG
rnacentral:rRNA from 1 species